rnacentral:rRNA from 1 species
GUUGCGGCGGAGGGUGAGUAACACGUGGGUAACCUGCCUGUAAGACUGGGAUAACUCCGGGAAACCGGGGCUAAUACCGGAUGCUUGUUUGAACCGCAUGGUUCAAACAUAAAAGGUGGCUUCGGCUACCACUUACAGAUGGACCCGCGGCGCAUUAGCUAGUUGGUGAGGUAACGGCUCACCAAGGCAACGAUGCGUAGCCGACCUGAGAGGGUGAUCGGCCACACUGGGACUGAGACACGGCCCAGACUCCUACGGGAGGCAGCAGUAGGGAAUCUUCCGCAAUGGACGAAAGUCUGACGGAGCAACGCCGCGUGAGUGAUGAAGGUUUUCGGAUCGUAAAGCUCUGUUGUUAGGGAAGAACAAGUACCGUUCGAAUAGGGCGGUACCUUGACGGUACCUAACCAGAAAGCCACGGCUAACUACGUGCCAGCAGCCGCGGUAAUACGUAGGUGGCAAGCGUUGUCCGGAAUUAUUGGGCGUAAAGGGCUCGCAGGCGGUUUCUUAAGUCUGAUGUGAAAGCCCCCGGCUCAACCGGGGAGGGUCAUUGGAAACUGGGGAACUUGAGUGCAGAAGAGGAGAGUGGAAUUUCCACGUGUAGCGGUGAAAUGCGUAGAGAUGUGGAGGAACACCAGUGGCGAAGGCGACUCUCUGGUCUGUAACUGACGCUGAGGAGCGAAAGCGUGGGGAGCGAACAGGAUUAGAUACCCUGGUAGUCCACGCCGUAAACGAUGAGUGCUAAGUGUUAGGGGGUUUCCGCCCCUUAGUGCUGCAGCUAACGCAUUAAGCACUCCGCCUGGGGAGUACGGUCGCAAGACUGAAACUCAAAGGAAUUGACGGGGGCCCGCACAAGCGGUGGAGCAUGUGGUUUAAUUCGAAGCAACGCGAAGAACCUUACCAGGUCUUGACAUCCUCUGACAAUCCUAGAGAUAGGACGUCCCCUUCGGGGGCAGAGUGACAGGUGGUGCAUGGUUGUCGUCAGCUCGUGUCGUGAGAUGUUGGGUUAAGUCCCGCAACGAGCGCAACCCUUGAUCUUAGUUGCCAGCAUUCAGUUGGGCACUCUAAGGUGACUGCCGGUGACAAACCGGAGGAAGGUGGGGAUGACGUCAAAUCAUCAUGCCCCUUAUGACCUGGGCUACACACGUGCUACAAUGGACAGAACAAAGGGCAGCGAAACCGCGAGGUUAAGCCAAUCCCACAAAUCUGUUCUCAGUUCGGAUCGCAGUCUGCAACUCGACUGCGUGAAGCUGGAAUCGCUAGUAAUCGCGGAUCAGCUGCCGCGAAUUUCC